CUUAAGGACUCUAACCCCAUUUCCACUUCGAAUUCCCUAUCAAGUUCAACCUAGGCCUUUUGUUAUCAACUCAGCCUUAGGGUCAUUUUACUGUAUCAACAUGACACACUUGGUUACCUAAAAAAUCUCUAAUUUGAUUUAUUCUUUACCAAAUGAACUUGACGAUAUUAUGUUUUAAAACAUUACGUACUUAUAUCAUGAAAAUGCAUAGUCAACAUUUAAAUUUUAACCACAAAGAAGAGUGAAUGAGUAGGUGAACACAAUUAGCUUGUUAUUCUCCACCAUUUGAUUUAAAUCCAACGAAGGAUGAGCCUGACAGAGCAGAGAAUCGAUUGAGUAAUCUAAGUAACAAGCUUGAGAAAGAAUAAUCUCACUGAGAGAGGAAAAUAGCUUUUAUUUUAAGCUCUUUGAUUUCUAUAUGCUUUGUGUGUACUUUUGAAUUAAUUUAGAGAUCGUCGCCUUAUACAAGGUACCAAAUCGGCGCCUUAAUAGUUAUCUGUUUUUUUUUUAAAGAAAUACGACUUUUACUAACAAGGCAAGAACCUUACUCGGAUCGUCAGGCUACAAUCCAUACACCACAAGCUCGCUUUCCAAUGAAAUUUGUUAAAAAAAAUUUGACAAUGGUUUCUAAAAUCUUAUAUUUUAAAUUCUAAAUAAUACGAAAUAUAGAUUUUGGAUGAAAAUAAUUGUUUUUGUUUUUAAAAAAGGAGCCAUCUGAAUUAAAAAAAAAAAAAGGUUCAAAUUAUAAAAAUGAGAGGGUUUCAAUCCGAUAAAUAUAAAAAAAAAUUAUAUAUAUAUAUAGAGAGAAUAAAAACCUAGUUAGUAGUUACGACUUACGACUUCAAAGAGUCUGCUAGAGAGAGAGAGGGAGGCUGACGGCCAUAUUCUUCCAAUCCCAGACUUCGUUUGCGUCCCUGAAAGUCUCACUAUCUUUGUCCCCAACUCUAAAUCAAUGACAGCAAGGCCAUGACAUGAUUGCCUCUGCAUCAUCAAUUCCAUGGCUGCUACUUUCGCUUCUUCACUAGCCUCAAAACCCAUGUUCCCUAAUCUUUGUACAAAACCCACAAAUUUGGGUUUAUCUGUUUCGCCUCACUCUUUUUCUUGUCACCACAAAACGUUGAGAAUCUCGGGUACUGUCUCAAUCUCUAACCGGAAUUACGGACCGAUGCCCAUGAGCUCGUUGCUUCUAUUAUUUCCAAGUUAGGUGUCAAAACCCCAAAUUGAAGUAAAAAACCAAUUCGAGAAAAGCUCUGAUUGAAGCAGAGGCAGUUGGUGUUUGGUGAAGCCGAGCCAGACAGACACUUGUAUUCGUAAGGGGCCUUAAAUUAAAUCAAUGUACCAGAUUGCUUUAUGUUGGCUCUGGCCUACAGAUUACCAAGUUUUGGGUGAAGAUGAUAACACUAAGCUCAAAAUUCAGGUUAGUUGAUGUUCCUUGCUUUGCUUUAAUAGUAUGAAGUGUGCUACUAGAUGACAUGUUAUUCAGCAUUGUCUAUUUAUUUGCAAUAACAAAAUGCAGAUUAAAUUAGACAAAAGAGAGAGAAUCAUGUCCAUACUUGAUUGGGGUAUAGGUAUGACAAAGGAGGACUUGAUCAAGAACUUGGAAACUAUAGCAAAAUCUGGAACUUCAGGUGCCACAUGCCUCUACAAAACCUCAAAAAAAAAAAAAAAAAACUUUCAGUGUGGCAAAUGAGUCUCCAGUGAUGAGUUCAAAGUGCAAGAGCAAGUAGACAAAUAUUCCAAGAUUUGGGGAAGUGAUCUUGGAACAUGAGGAGUUCAUUAAUUGCAACACUUUCGAGCAAACCAACAACCAAUAAUUUGGUUAGUAGUAUGUUGGAUUUAGUACACAAGGAUCUAUAGACUGUUUUGAAUUGGUAUUGAUUGUAAAGAAUACUUUGGGUUAAUAUAUUCUUACUUUGUCGGCUCA